GAGUUUGAUCCUGGCUCAGGACGAACGCUGGCGGCGUGCCUAACACAUGCAAGUCGAACGGAGAUACGCGCUGAAUGGAUGGAGCUUGCUUUUGAAAUUCUUGUGUAUCUUAGUGGCGGACGGGUAAGUAACGCGUGAGCAACCUGCCUUUCAGAGGGGGAUAACGUUUGGAAACGAACGCUAAUACCGCAUGAGACCACAGUACUGCAUAGUACAGUGGCCAAAGGAGCAAUCCGCUGAAAGAUGGGCUCGCGUCCGAUUAGAUAGUUGGCGGGGUAACGGCCCACCAAGUCGACGAUCGGUAGCCGGACUGAGAGGUUGAACGGCCACAUUGGGACUGAGACACGGCCCAGACUCCUACGGGAGGCAGCAGUGAGGGAUAUUGGUCAGUGGGGGAAACCCUGAACCAGCAACGCCGCGUGAGGGAAGACGGUUUUCGGAUUGUAAACCUCUGUCCUCUGUGAAGAUAAUGACGGUAGCAGAGGAG
rnacentral:rRNA from 1 species